rnacentral:rRNA from 1 species
AUACGGAGGAUCCGAGCGUUAUCCGGAUUUAUUGGGUUUAAAGGGUGCGCAGGCGGCCAUUUAAGUCAGCGGUUAAAUCGUGGGGCUCAACCCCAUUCUGCCGUUGAUACUGCAUGGCUGGAAUGCGGUCGAGGCGGGCGGAACGGGGGGUGUAGCGGGGAAAUGCGUAGAUUGCCACAGAACGCCGAAAGCGGAGGCAGCCCGCCAGGCCUGCAUGGCCGCUCGGGCACGAAAGCGUGGGGAUUGAACAGGAUUAGAUACCCUGGUAGUCCACGCCGUAAACGAUGGGCGCUCGUCGUCGGCGGCAGACAGUCGGCGGCCAAGCGAAAGCGAUAAGCGCCCCACCUGGGGAGUACGGUCGCAAGGCUGAAACUCAAAUGAAUUGACGGGG